AUACGUAGGUGACAAGCGUUAUCCGGAUUUACUGGGCGUAAAGGGCGUGUAGGCGGUCUUGCAAGUCAGAAGUGAAAUUCCUGAGCUCAACUCGGGCGCUGCUUCUGAAACUGCAGGACUUGAGUGCUGGAGGGGAUAGCGGAAUUCCUAGUGGAGCGGUAAAAUGCGCAGAUAUUAGGAAGAACACCGGUGGCGAAGGCGGCUAUCUGGACAGUAACUGACGCUGAGGCGCGAAAGCGUGGGGAGCAAACAGGAUUAGAUACUCUGGUAGUCCACGCCGUAAACGAUGAAUACUAGGUGUAGGGGGUAUCGACUCCCUCUGUGCCGCAGUUAACACAAUAAGUAUUCCGCCUGGGGAGUACGGCCGCAAGGUUGAAACUCAAAUGAAUUGACGGGG
rnacentral:rRNA from 1 species